rnacentral:rRNA from 1 species
UGGGGAAUAUUGCGCAAUGGGGGAAACCCUGACGCAGCGACGCCGCGUGCGGGAUGAAGGCCUUCGGGUUGUAAACCGCUUUUGAUUGGGAGCAAGCCUUUUGGGAGAGUGUACCUUUCGAAUAAGCGCCGGCUAACUACGUGCCAGCAGCCGCGGUAAUACGUAGGGCGCAAGCGUUAUCCGGAAUUAUUGGGCGUAAAGAGCUUGUAGGCGGUUCGUCGCGUCUGGUGUGAAAGCCCAUCGCUUAACGGUGGGUUUGCGCCGGGUACGGGCGGGCUAGAGUGCAGUAGGGGAGACUGGAAUUCCCGGUGUAACGGUGGAAUGUGUAGAUAUCGGGAAGAACACCAAUGGCGAAGGCAGGUCUCUGGGCUGUUACUGACGCUGAGAAGCGAAAGCGUGGGGAGCGAACAGG